UGAUCGUCUGUGUAGCUGUGCUGCUGCUGCGUUUGUGCUGAUUUUGAUCCUAAUCUACGCAUGAUUUUCACCUUUAAAGAACACAAGAAAUGGAGCAGCAGCACAGCACAAAAAGGAUCAUGUCUAUGAGGAGAUACAGCAGACGCCAAACUCAGGAAAUAAGAUGAACACGAUUUAUGCCACUGCCAACUUUCCCACAAACCCCUCUGCCUCGCUGCAUUACUCCAGCAUCAACUUCCAAACAGCUCUGACAGAGUUGGUGGUGAGACAGUGAUCCUCAAACCCAGCUCUGCUGCCUACGAAUAUUCUACUGUGAAGCAAAAUCCAGCCUACUGUACAGUCAGCCAGCCGUCCAGCUCUUCAGAGGAUCCUCUCUACACAACAGUCAACAAGCCACAGCAGCACCGAGCAAAGAUCAGCCCUGUCAAUUUAUGACAUUUACUACAUGUAUGGUCAAAAUUUCAGGUCAUUCAUUGCUGAUGUGGUUGUUUACAAUGAAUCCAGCUCAGACUUCAGGAACUUCACCAAGAUAUUCAGAUGUUGGACGCUGUCAACUUAAAUCCUAUCAAUCCAGAGACACACGAUUCACUUCAUCAUCCACAUUGUUUGAGUCACCAAGGUGUGAACAGGACUUUUGCACCGAUCUGUAAUUACUAGAGGAGUCUUUCUUGUCUUGCUUCUGAAGCUCAGCUUUAUAUUACAGCUGAUUAUUAUCUCAUUACCUGAUUUAACUUAUCACAGAUACUGUAUAUUGUUGACCUGGUCUGAAUCAGAGUCCUAGAAAUAAAAGAAAAUCCUUUCCCUACAAUUCAGUGAUAUUUUUAUGUGAAAACUUGC